rnacentral:rRNA from 1 species
CCUACGGGCGGCAGCAGUGGGGAAUAUUGCACAAUGGGGGAAACCCUGAUGCAGCGACGCCGCGUGAGUGAAGAAGGAUUUCGGUAUGUAAAGCUCUAUUAGCAGGGAAGAAAAUGACGGUACCUGACUAAGAAGCCCCGGCUAACUCCGUGCCAGCAGCCGCGGUAAUACGUAGGGGGCAAGCGUUACCCGGAUUUACUGGGUGUAAAGGGAGCGUAGACGGGGCGGCAAGUCGGAAGUGAAGGGCGGGGGUUUAACCCGUGAACUGCUUUGGAAACUGGCAUGCUAGAGUGCUGGAGAGGUAAGUGGAAUUCCUGGUGUAGCGGUGGAAUGCGUAGAUAUCAGGAGGAACACCGAUGGCGAAGGCGGCUUGCUGGACAGUAACUGACGCUGAGGCUCGAAAGCGUGGGGAGCAAACAGGAUUAGAUACCCUUGUAGUC